AGUGAACGCUGGCGGCAUGCUUUACACAUGCAAGUCGAACGGCAGCGCGGGCUUCGGCCUGGCUGCGAGUGGCGAACGGGCGAGUAAUGCAUCGGAACGUGCCCAUCAGCGUGGGAUAGGCCGGCGAAAGCCGGAUUAAUACCGCAUACGACCUGAGGGUGAAAGCGGGGGGCCGAAAGGCCUUGCGCUAUUGGACCGGCCGAUGUCGGAUUAGCUAGUUGGUGGGGUAAAGGCUUACCAAGGCGACGAUCCGUAGCUGGUCUGAGAGGAUGACCAGCCACACUGGGACUGAGACACGGCCCAGACUCCUACGGGAGGCAGCAGUGGGGAAUUUUGGACAAUGGGGGCAAGCCUGAUCCAGCCAUGCCGCGUGCGGGAAGAAGGCCUUCGGGUUGUAAAGCGCUUUUGUUCGGGAAGAAAACCUCUGGGCUAAUACCCCGGGGGGAUGACGGUACCGGAAGAAUAAGCACCGGCUAACUACGUG
rnacentral:rRNA from 1 species